AGAAACAAGGGAGAGCAAGACGAGACAACCCAUGGAAUGGAAGUUGCCAUGCGAGUAACCUUCGUUGUACUAUGUUAUAAGAGAAGAUAGUGUUGCUAUUCGAUUGUUUCUUCUCUUGUGGAUGAUGGCUUUAUAAGAUGGGCAUAUGGUGGUAUAUAUAGCUGCAGUAAGUGGGUGUAGUGCAUGUGCAUGUAAGGAAAGGAGAGUCGAUUUGGAGCAGUGCUGCUAAGGCUAUCCGCAAUCGUUAUCCCUAAAUUUUUCCCCCUAUAUCACUUUUCUCCCCUAUUUUUCCCUCUAUUUUUUUAUCUCCCGCAACGGUUUCCCCUAAAUACUUCCCCUAUAUCCCACUACCACUAUAAAAUAUCAUUUUCUAUACCAACUAUCAAUUUUUUAUCUACUAACAAUUACUCGUGGAUCCACAGCACAGUGUUUAGGGGAUGAACAGUGACACGCUAUAUCUGGAAGGAGAGAGAAGGGGGCCGACGCGUAGGGGCACCGUCGCGGCCGUAUACAGCCGCAGGGUGCCAAGGGGGGCAGCGUUGCGCAUAGCCUAAGACUGUCUUCAGCGGUUCCCCCUAAAUUUGUCCCCCUAUAUCCCACUCACGUGCCACGUCAGCAAUCUCUCUCCCCCUAUAUCUCCACGCUCUACAGCGGUUCCCCCUAUAACAAUCCUCUAUACCCCACCACACCAAUAUUAUAUACUUUCCUCAUCAACUAACUCAACUACCAUGAAAUCUUAAAAUUAUUUUUAUUAAUUAUUUGCAUAGUACACGGGGCAUUUUCGGUCCACAUGUAAUUAGCGAACUUAAUAAUUGCUAUUAAUACGUUAGUUUUAAUACGUUACGAUUUUAUGGUUUUUAGAAAUACAAAUUCUCAUUCUUCCAGUACACGACACCAGUGGCUUGCACGACACGACUGGCUUAUACCGGAAGCCACGACCGUCUGGCUUCCUUCACACACCUAGGGCACCUAUAAAUAAGGUACCCUGGGGUUUAGCUCCACUCAUCUACACACUCACCUCUUCUAUAUCAUCCGCCAUUCCAUAAGAAGUCCGUAGUUCGUACUCGUAGUUGAGGUCGUCAUGGAGUCAUUGAAAAGCCUUGUGUUCUCCUCGUCAUCCGACGAUUCCGACGAUGAGAUUGAAACCUUGUUGCUUGCCCAACAUGUUGAGCACCUUGUACAAGGAGACACGAGCACGCGCCGUAGGCGCUCCGCAUUUCCUCGCCGAGUCAUCCAUAGGGACCACGGUGCUGGAGAAAAUCUCAUCAAACAUCACUACUUCGGACCAAAUCCUGUGUAUCCAGCACAUGUUUUUCGUCGAAGGUACAUUUCCUAAGUUAUGAUUUUACUUUCAUUUGUAGGUUUGUUUUUUCAUUUUUUGGUUUAUUUUCGUUUAUAGGUUUCGGAUGCAUCGUCCGUUGUUCCUACGUAUCCUUCGUGCCGUUCAGCGAGAAGACGAAUACUUCACUAUUCGUUGUGAUGCAACAGGUUUAGCAGGGCUUGGUCCAUUGCAAAAAGUUUGUGCAGCAUUGCGUAUUCUUGCGUACGGGUUACCCACCGAUGCGGUAGAUGAGUACAUACAGAUUGGACAAACUACCGCUAGGGACUGCCUUAUCCGUUUUUGUCGCGCAAUCAUAUCUUCGUUUAGCGAACGAUACCUUCGUAUCCCUAACCACGACGACAUUGCUCGCAUACUACGUGUAAACGCAGAGAGGGGGUUUCCUGGUAUGCUAGGCUCUAUCGAUUGUAUGCAUUGGGAAUGGCGCAACUGUCCUACUGCAUGGCGCGGACAAUUUUGUGGGCGCAAUUCUAGGCCAACAAUGAUACUAGAGGCAGUCGCUGGGUACGAUUUGUGGAUUUGGCAUGCCUUCUUCGGAAUGCCUGGUACCAACAAUGAUCUAAACGUGCUUCAUCGGUCACCUGUGUUUGAUCCGUUACGUAAUGGGACGAUGCCACCAGUGAACUUCACUAUUAAUGGGACUACUUACAAUUUCGGAUACUACUUAGCAGAUGGAAUAUAUCCAAAUUGGCCUACAUUUGUAAAAGCUAUUCGCCACGCAUUUGAGGAGAAAAAGGUUCACUUUACAACCAAGCAAGAGAGUUGUCGCAAAGACAUUGAGCGAGCUUUUGGAGUUUUGCAGGCAAGGUGGGCUGUUCUACGUGGACCUGCUUACGGUUGGGAUCGUAAUCACCUCGCAGAGAUGAUGACUGCUUGCAUUAUUAUGCACAACAUGAUUGUCGAGGACGAAGGAGAUGGUGCAGCUAAUGUCGACUUCAUUGGGCCUACAGGGCCUCCUGAACCGUGCAACAAUACUGGUGAGGGCCGCAACGAAUGGCUCAACAAUCAUAUCCGCUCGGAGUUACCCAACGAUCCGGAGCAGGACAUCACUUGUCAGGCAACAUACUUGUCUUUACAGCACAACCUCGUAGAACACCUCUGGGCUCGUCGAGGCGCCAUGGGUUGAUGCUUUGUUUCCGAAUUAAGUGCUACACCAAUGUUAUGUUCUUUGAAUUAUGAACUACAUGAUGUGUACCAGGUUUAGUAGUCGUCUGUGGUUUGUAUGUCCGUAGUUCAUAAGUCAUGGUUCCUUGUUAGUGUAAUGGCUGUGGUACAAAUAAGUUUCAAUAUGUUUCGUAACCUCAAGUAAUGUAUGAAAAUCCUUAUUAUCAAUAUCAAUAAUGUGAACUGAACGAAUGUUCGAAAACAAACUGAUUAAGUCAAACAAAUAAUGAAUUGUUCAACCACUCUAAAAUAGACAUGUCCAAACACAGAGGACUACGGUUCGCCGAUACAAAGGUGACAAACACCUUAUGAUAUACAGUAGUACUUGUAACGCCCCGAAUUUUGCAGUUGAAUUUUUUUCUUUUCUUUACUCGCCAAAAUUCGGGCGUUACCUUUCCCUUUUCUUUUUCCCCUCGCUAAACCUUGACCUUUUUCAAAGUUUAGCGGGAUUCGGUUUGGAAUUCCCGUAUGUAUAAAAACCCUAAAUACUUUAUGUUGUUUGAUGCACCAUGCCGCCCUUGCAUUUUUGGUUGUUUGAAAGUGCAAUCGCAUUCAUCUAAAAGAUCGGAUUUCGAGAACAAGCGGAAAAUCUUUUAUCUUUCUUUCUCUCUCUUUCUCUCUCCCCUUUCUCUCUCUCUCCCGCGCCCUGGGCCGACCCCGGCCGGCCCAGCCGCCCCCUGGCGCCCCCCCUUGGGCCCAAUUGGCCCAAGCCGCCCCCCCCCCACCCCCCUCUAUUUUUCCCAAUUCUCUCUCCCUCCCUCUCAUUUUCUCUCAUUUUCUCUCCCUCACCCUAAGCCGCCGCCGCCCCUGCCCCCUACCCUAGGCCGCCGCGCCGCCCCCUGCCGCCGGCCGCCCCUCGCCGUCGAUCCCCGCCGGUGAGCCCCCUCCCCCUCCUCCCUCUCCUCCCUCCCCUCUUCUCUCCCCACCCCCGCGCGCCCCCUGGCCGCGCCGGCAGCCGCCCCAGCCCCGCCGUGGCCCCUGGCCGCCGCUGGCCGGCCCUCGGCCGCGCCCAGCCGGCCCCGGCCGCCGCUGGCCUGCCCCGGCCGCUCCCCUGGCCGCCCUGGCCCGGCCGCUGGCCGCCCCCAGCCGCGCCCCGCCCGGCCGCCAGCCGCCCCUAGCCCGGCCCCGGCCGCCGCUGGCCCGCCCCGGCCGCUCCCCUGGCCGCCUUGGCCCGGCCGCUGGCCGCCCCCAGCCGCGCCCCGCCCGGCCGCCAGCCGCCCCUAGCCCGCGCCCCGGCCGCCUGGCCCCCUGGCCGCGCCCCCCUGUCCCGGGCCGGUUCAGCCGGCCUCGGCCCCGGCUCAGCCGCCCCCGGCCCCAGCUCGGCCGCCUGCCCCCGGGCCGGUUCAACCGCCCCUAGGGCCGGUUCAACCGCCCCCCCUCUGUUUUUUUUAUUUUUUUAUUUUAUUUUAUUUACUUUCUGUGAUCAUAAUUACUGUAUUUUAAGUAGGCUAAUCACUGUUCAUGCUAUGGGAAAAUAGGAAGUUUAAUUUAAAAUUCCGUUAUGCUAUUGAUUCACGUAGUUAAUUGUUUACCCUGUGCAAUGUUGAUCAACUAAAAGUGAUUAGGUUUCCAUUAGUAUAUAUAAAUAUAUAUAACAGAAUUAUUUUGUUAAAAACCAAUUGUGUCAUUAGUGCAUAAGAUUUAACCCCCUGCGAGACCUUUCCCGUUUCUUUCUAACCAUAACAAAUGCGUUAUCGAAUGUCAUACUUGAUGCAUAUUCACUUUAUUUGUUAUCUUGUAUGGUGUACUGUUCUUUUGUAUUAAAUAUGUGGAUGGAUGUAUGUAUGUUUGCGCUCGCAUAGAGAACGAUCCGGUCGAAGAGCCCGAGGAAUUCGCAGGAGAAGCCCCUGAGCAGCAGUCGGUUGGUGGAGGCAAGUGUCCUUUGACCUAUCUCUGUCCUAUUCAUUAUUUAAUUCACCUCCCGCAUUACACAUUUAUACCUAAGGAUUGACUAGCUUUUGUUAUCCGUGUCCUUGUUUACCUAUUUGGGUCGGAUUAUUACUACUUAGUCUGAUGCUAUUGCUCAACUCUAAUCAAUGAACAUGAUGUGAUUAUCUAUGAUACGCUGUUUUCCCGUUCUUCUUUAUGAUUAUACUUGUGGUUUUCAAGGGGACUCGAGCGGUUUCUCGAGUGCCUCUCCGUAAGGACCUGUUCUAUGGAUGACCGCCCGGGAAAACAGUGCAACCAUGAGGGUGGAAUGGGGUGCCCUUAGCUGAAUAAUUAGAGGAUCCGGGAUGUAGUUCACUUAGCCGUCGUGCCGUCAAUGGGGCUCGGUGUAUGCGGCUCGCUCUGCCAAGUUUGGGUUCGCCCCUUGGGGAGGAGUGCGGUGCAUUUAGGAAACCUAACGGGUGGCUACAGCCCCGGGGAAUCUUUGUAAAGGCUACGUAGUGAAACCCUGCCUAUUCACCUUGGUAGUGUUUAAGGGUUUGAUCGGCCCGAGGCAAGAGGGAAUCACGGCUUGUGGGUAAAGUGCACAACCUCUACAGAGUGUUAUGAAACUGAUAUAUCAGCCGUGCUCACGGUUAUGAGCGGCCAAGGGAGCUCCAGAGAUUAGUGAUACUUGAUCAGAGAUAUUUUGGUACAGGUGGCAAUGAGAUUGAUGGUUCUGGUUAUGAUUAUGGUAUUGGUAAGUGGUAUUCUUUCCGUUUGGAAAGGAUACAUUGGGUUAAUAACUUGGGUUAAUGUUAAAACCUGGCUUUCUACUAGUAAGUAAUAACCUGACCAACUAAAAGCAACUGCUUGACUUAUCCCCACAUAAAGCUAGUCCACUACAGCCAAACAGGAUACUUGCUGAGUAUGUUGAUGUGUACUCACCCUUGCUCUACACACCAAACCCCCCCCCAGGUUGUCAGCAUUGCAACCACUGCUCAGGAGAAGAUGAAGCUGUGGAAGGAGACUUCCAGGAGUUCCAAGAUUACGACGAGUUCUAGGUGUGGGUUAGCGGCAACCCCCAGUCGGCUGCCUGUGAAGGCCGUGUUAUCUACGUUUCGUUUUCGCACUUUGAUUUAUUGUAAGAACUAUAUGGACGUCUCAGACGUAUGAUGUAAUCGACUAUUUCCCUUAUUAAUACUAUUUGAGCACUGUGUGAUGAUGUCCAUGUUAUGUAACUGCUGUGUACGUGAAUAACUGAUCCUGGCACGUACAUGGUUCGCAUUCGGUUUACCUUCUAAAAACCGGGUGUGACAUAAGUGGUAUCAAAGCCGUGCUGACUGUAGGACCGCUAACCUAGAGUAGAAUGGUCGUUCUAAGGAUUAUAGACCUCUGUCCCUGCCUUGACUUUGGUAUCCCUUCAAAAGUUGGUCCUACUGACCAAACCUAUGUUCUACUACAUAUUAUACCUUGCUGAAAAUUAUGUUUUAUUCUGAUCCUUCAUUUAUUUAUGAUUCAUUACUUGCUGGUCAUAUUAAUUCUGUUCUCACCCUUUUGCUUGCGAUGUCUUUUGUAGAUGGCUCGACUUAGACACACUGCACGAAAGUCCGUCAUCCCCUUCUUACCCUCCCGCCUUGCUGAGCGUCCGCUUCGCCGUCCUGUGGCCGGACAGUCCAGCCACUUGGAGAGACUACACCACCGCCUGCGUGAGGAGCAGGAACGUCGACGACAGGAGCAGCAGAGCUCUUCUUUCUCGCUCCACCAGGAGAUAGAGUCUGUGAGGAGCUGCUCCCCUGUGCUUCCUCUGGAGCCGCCCCCUGCAUCACCACUGGGCGUCCCAGCUUCUGGAGUAGCUGCUGGAGGAGACCCAGAUGACGGAGAUGGCGACGACAGCUCGAGCCACGACACCGACUUCUCUGCUAACCUUGAGCCGGAAGGAUGGGUUGCUCGACCCAUCACUCGCGACGCCGCUCGCGGGUGUCACUUCCACGAUGCGCUCGACACCCUGCUACGUCGGGCAUUUGACCGGCAUACUUGGUCCGUCGAGUAUCGCUGUGUGGUCUACCAGCACAGUCGCGGGGUCUACCCGGAUCGCUGGGAGGCAACUUGCUUGGUGCGCUGCCCGGAGAACAGUCUCCAGGGAGCGGAGGCUUGCUCAGAGCACUAUUCUAUCUCUGAGCGGGACUCAGCUGAGGCAGCCAUGCAAGAUGCUGCACGGCGUGCGCUUUCGCACUACUGCUCGGUUUUCGGUGGGGCAGCUGACGGCCUUGACCUGAAGUAUUACCCCCGCCGUUCAUCUGGCAGCACAGGAGGCGUGAUUGUCUCACCUGUCGGUGAGGGCAAUCCUAGGUUGAGCAGCACAGUCAACCUAGCCGCCGUGCUAAACACGGAGCUGGACCAUGCAUUAGACGAGCUGAGUAGGGCUCGUGCUGAGAUCGCCCUGCUGCGGGCUGAGCGCGCGGAACGUCGUCACCUGGACGGUGGUUCCCCCGCUCCCGUCGGGACUCAACACCCGUACCGCUCACCUCAGCGUGGACACCAGUCUUAUGGCAAUCCCGACUGCAAGACCAAGAUCAAUCUAGAACCAUAGAUCGUUAGAGUUGGAUCUUGUAAUUAAUACGAAAUAAAUAUAUACAUGGAAGCUUCAGUCUUAGCGUUAGUCUCGGUCUUAGUUAGUUUUAGUUAGACAGGGUAGUUUGCUAUAUCCUGUGCAUUUAUGUUUGUCAUGAUGAACUAUGUUUGGUUUGGAUCUUUGUAAUGAUUGUCACCAGAGUGUGGGUAUCCCCUGCAUUUUGGUUUACAUAUUAUGUCAAUAAAGUUAGUUAUAUAGUUGGGAAAACCUUUAUUCUACUUUCCUCUUUAUCUGAGAAGCUGUGUGGCCUGUGUUGGAGAUCAGUGAAGAUGCUCAUCUGUUCAGUGCUGUUGAAGAAUUCUAUUCUCUUUUCUUAUGCUGCAAGCUUUGCCAGAUCAGUUCUGAUGUGUGGUUGCGUUCUGCAGAUGUCAGAGAACAGGCGCAGAGGAGGAAGGCGUGCUCAGCAGGAGCAAGCCGGUCAGCAAGAUGAGGCGCCCCAGCAGCAGCAGCUGCCGCCCCCGCCCCCGAUGUCGAUUGAGCAGAUGUUUCUGAUGCAGACUCAGGCAGUUCAAGCCAUCGGUCAGACUCUGGCCGCCAUUCAGCAGCAGCAGCAGCAGCAGCAGGCUCCACCCCAGCCUCAGAUGCCUCAGAUGCCUAGAGAUAAGCGUGCUGAGUUCAUGAGAGGUCAUCCACCAACGUUCGCUCACUCUUCUGACCCCAUGGAUGCUGAAGAUUGGCUGCGCACUGUGGAGCGAGAGUUGCAUACCGCUCAGUGUGAUGACAGGGAGAAAGUCUUGUAUGGUCCCCGUCUGUUGAGAGGAGCAGCCCAAUCAUGGUGGGAGUCUUACCUCGCCACCCAUGCCAACCCCGACACCAUCACCUGGGAAGAGUUCAGAGGUAGCUUUCGUCAGUACCAUGUGCCUGCAGGUCUGAUGACAGUGAAGAAGGAGGAGUUCCUGGCCCUUAAGCAAGGGUCAUCGUCUGUCAGUGAGUAUCGGGACAGGUUUCUGCAGUUGUCUCGCUACGCUCCCGAAGAUGUCAACACCGACGCCAAGCGACAAUACCGUUUUCUGAGAGGCUUGGUUGACCCUCUGCAGUAUCAGCUGAUGAAUCACACCUUCCCGACAUUCCAGCACCUGAUUGACAGAGCAAUCAUGACAGAAAGGAAGCGUAAGGAGAUGGAAGAUCAUAAGCGCAAGAUCAGUGGACCCCAGCCUGGAAGCAGCAGCCGUCCCCGUUUCUCAGGCAAUCAACCUCAGCAGUUCAGGCAGAACCAGCGUCCACCUCAGCAGCAUCAGCAGCGUCAGCAGUAUCAGCAGUUCCAAAGGCAGUAUCCUCAGAAUCAGUACCAGAAUCGUCAGAGCAAUCAGUCAGGAGGAGGUCAGUUUCAGAGGCAGAAUCAGCAGACACCUCGUCUUCCUGCCCCAGCAAAUCAGCAGAACAGUCAGGCAGCACCAGCUCAGGUUGGAAACAGGGCAUGUUUCCACUGUGGAGAGCAAGGCCAUUGGGUGAUGCAAUGUCCGAAGAAGGCAGCCCAGCAGCAGUCAGGCCCCAAUGCCCCAGCCAAGCAGAAUGUGUCUCAGCCUGGAGCAGGCAACCGCUCUCAGCCGCGUUAUAAUCAUGGAAGACUGAACCACUUGGAGGCCGAAGCAGUUCAGGAGACCCCCGACAUGAUAGUAGGUAUGUUCCCAGUCGACUCCCAUAUUGCAGAAGUGUUAUUUGAUACUGGAGCAACACAUUCUUUCAUUACUGCAUCAUGGGUAGAAGCACAUAAUCUUCCAAUUACUACCAUGUCAACCCCUAUUCAAAUUGACUCAGCCGGUGGUAGAAUUCGAGCCGAUAGCAUUUGUUUGAAUAUAAGUGUGAAAAUAAGGGGGAUAGCGUUUCCCGCCAACCUUAUAGUAAUGGGUACUCAGGGAAUAGAUGUCAUCCUAGGGAUGAAUUGGCUAGAUAAGUAUCAGGCAGUUAUCAGUUGUGAUAAAAGGACAAUCAAGUUGGUGUCCCCACUAGGAGAGGAAGUGGUGACCGAGUUAGUCCCACCUGAGCCGAAGAAAGGAAGUUGUUAUCAGAUGGCUGUCGAUAGCAGUGAAGCAGACCCAAUUGAGAGUAUCAAGGUUGUGUCUGAAUUCCCAGAUGUGUUUCCAAAGGAUUUACCGGGUAUGCCACCAGAGCGGAAAGUUGAAUUUGCUAUAGAGCUUCUCCCUGGAACCGCCCCCAUCUCUAAGAGAGCUUACAGAAUAUCUGGACCAGAGUUGGUUGAGCUUAAGAAGCAGAUUGAUGAGCUGUCAGAGAAAGGUUACAUCCGGCCAAGCACCUCGCCUUGGGCCGCCCCUGUCUUGUUUGUGGAGAAGAAAGAUGGCACCAAGAGGAUGUGUAUCGAUUAUCGAGCUUUGAAUGAAGUCACGAUCAAGAACAAGUAUCCUUUGCCCAGAAUAGAAGAUCUGUUCGACCAGUUGAGAGGAGCCAGUGUGUUCUCCAAGAUCGAUCUGAGGUCAGGUUAUCAUCAGCUCAGGAUCCGACCUUCGGACAUUCCGAAGACGGCAUUUAUUACCAAGUAUGGUUUGUAUGAGUUCACAGUGAUGUCUUUUGGUUUGACCAAUGCACCAGCGUUCUUUAUGAACUUGAUGAACAGUGUAUUCAUGGAUUACCUUGAUAAGUUCGUGGUGGUAUUCAUUGAUGACAUUCUGGUUUAUUCUCAAAGUGAAGAAGAGCAUGCAGAUCAUUUGAGGAUGGUAUUGCAGAGAUUGCGAGAGCACCAGUUGUAUGCAAAGUUGAGCAAGUGUGAGUUCUGGAUCAGUGAAGUCCUGUUCUUGGGUCACAUAAUCAACAAAGAAGGAUUGGCUGUGGAUCCGAAGAAAGUGGCAGACAUUCUAAACUGGAAAGCGCCAACGGAUGCUCGAGGAAUCAAGAGCUUCAUUGGAAUGGCCGGAUAUUAUCGGCGAUUCAUUGAAGGGUUUUCGAAGAUUGCGAAACCAAUGACAGCGUUGCUAGGCAACAAGGUUGAGUUCAAGUGGACCCAGAAAUGCCAAGAGGCCUUUGAAGCGCUGAAAGAGAAGUUGACAACAACGCCUGUCCUAGUCUUGCCUGAUGUGCACAAGCCCUUCUCUGUGUAUUGUGAUGCUUGUUACACAGGUUUGGGAUGCGUGUUGAUGCAAGAGGGAAGAGUUGUGGCUUACUCGUCCCGACAGCUGAAGGUUCAUGAGAGGAACUACCCAAUCCAUGAUCUAGAGUUGGCAGCAGUGGUUCACGCACUGAAGACAUGGAGGCACUAUCUGUAUGGACAGAAAUGCGAUGUUUACACAGACCACAAGAGUCUGAAGUACAUAUUCACUCAGUCAGAAUUGAACAUGAGGCAACGAAGAUGGUUAGAAUUGAUCAAAGACUAUGAGUUGGAGAUUCAUUACCAUCCAGGAAAAGCGAACGUAGUGGCAGAUGCUUUGAGCAGAAAGAGUCAAGUCAAUCUGAUGGUCGCUCGUCCGAUGCCUUAUGAGUUGGCCAAAGAGUUUGACAGGUUGAGUCUCGGGUUUCUGAACAAUUCGCGAGGAGUCACAGUUGAAUUGGAACCUACCUUGGAGCGCGAAAUCAAAGAAGCGCAGAAAAAUGAUGAGAAGAUCAGUGAGAUUCGGCGAUUGAUUCUAGAUGGCAGAGGCAAAGACUUUCGAGAAGAUGCAGAAGGUGUGGUAUGGUUCAAAGACCGCUUGUGUGUUCCCAAUGUCCAGUCUAUUCGGGAGUUGAUUCUUAAGGAAGCUCAUGAGACAGCUUAUUCGAUUCACCCUGGUAGUGAGAAGAUGUAUCAGGAUCUGAAGAAGAAAUUCUGGUGGUACGGAAUGAAAAGAGAAAUCGCAGAGCAUGUGGCUAUGUGCGAUAGUUGUCGAAGAAUUAAGGCAGAACACCAGAGACCAGCUGGAUUGUUGCAACCGUUGCAGAUCCCUGAGUGGAAAUGGGAUGAAAUUGGUAUGGAUUUCAUAGUCGGAUUGCCUCGCACUCGAGCCGGCUACGAUUCCAUUUGGGUAGUAGUGGACCGUUUGACCAAGUCAGCCCACUUCAUACCAGUCAAGACCAGCUACAAAAGUGCAGUAUUGGCAGAGUUGUAUAUGUCUCGGAUCGUUUGUCUUCAUGGUGUGCCAAAGAAGAUAGUGUCAGACAGAGGAACGCAGUUCACCUCUCAUUUCUGGCAGCAGUUGCAUGAAGCCUUGGGCACGCAUCUGAAUUUCAGUUCAGCUUAUCACCCGCAGACAGAUGGCCAGACCGAAAGAACCAAUCAAAUUCUUGAAGACAUGUUGAGAGCCUGUGCGUUGCAAGAUCAGUCCGGAUGGGACAAGCGAUUGCCUUAUGCAGAGUUUUCCUAUAACAACAGUUACCAGGCCAGUUUGAAGAUGUCACCGUUUCAAGCGCUGUAUGGAAGGAGUUGCAGAACUCCGUUGCAAUGGGAUCAGCCUGGAGAGAAGCAGGUGUUUGGGCCAGAUAUUUUGCUUGAAGCCGAAGAGAACAUCAAGAUGGUCCGAGAGAAUCUGAAGAUAGCGCAAUCAAGGCAGCGAAGCUAUGCAGACACAAGAAGAAGAGAGCUGAGCUUUGAAGUCGGAGACUUUGUCUAUCUGAAAGUGUCACCGAUCAGAGGAGUCAGAAGAUUCGGAGUGAAAGGCAAGCUAGCACCCCGCUACAUUGGUCCGUAUCAAAUUCUCUCAAAGCGUGGAGAAGUGGCUUAUCAGCUCAGCCUGCCAGAGAAUUUGUCUGCUGUGCAUGAUGUCUUUCAUGUGUCUCAGUUGAAGAAGUGUUUGCGUGUGCCAGAAGAGCAGUUGCCAGUGGAAGGUCUUGAAGUCCAGGAGGACUUGACCUAUAUUGAGAAGCCAGCUCAGAUCCUUGAGGUUGCAGAUAGAGUCACCCGAAGGAAGACCGUCAGAAUGUGCAAAGUCAGAUGGAGUCACCACUCUGAGGAAGAAGCAACCUGGGAGCGUGAAGAUGAUCUGAUGGCCAAGUACCCGGAGCUCUUUGCUAGCCAGCCCUGAAUCUCGAGGGCGAGAUUCUUUUAAGGGGGAUAGGUUUGUAACGCCCCGAAUUUUGCAGUUGAAUUUUUUUUCUUUUCUUUACUCGCCAAAAUUCGGGCGUUACCUUUCCCUUUUCUUUUUCCCCUCGCUAAACCUUGACCUUUUUCAAAGUUUAGCGGGAUUCGGUUUGGAAUUCCCGUAUGUAUAAAAACCCUAAAUACUUUAUGUUGUUUGAUGCACCAUGCCGCCCUUGCAUUUUUGGUUGUUUGAAAGUGCAAUCGCAUUCAUCUAAAAGAUCGGAUUUCGAGAACAAGCGGAAAAUCUUUUAUCUUUCUUUCUCUCUCUUUCUCUCUCCCCUUUCUCUCUCUCUCCCGCGCCCUGGGCCGACCCCGGCCGGCCCAGCCGCCCCCUGGCGCCCCCCCUUGGGCCCAAUUGGCCCAAGCCGCCCCCCCCACCCCCUCUAUUUUUCCCAAUUCUCUCUCCCUCUCAUUUUCUCUCAUUUUCUCUCCCUCACCCUAAGCCGCCGCCGCCCCUGCCCCCUACCCUAGGCCGCCGCGCCGCCCCCUGCCGCCGGCCGCCCCUCGCCGUCGAUCCCCGCCGGUGAGCCCCCUCCCCUCCUCCCUCUCCUCCCUCCCCUCUUCUCUCCCCACCCCCGCGCGCCCCCUGGCCGCGCCGGCAGCCGCCCCAGCCCCGCCGUGGCCCCUGGCCGCCGCUGGCCGGCCCUCGGCCGCGCCCAGCCGGCCCCGGCCGCCGCUGGCCCGCCCCGGCCGCUCCCCUGGCCGCCCUGGCCCGGCCGCUGGCCGCCCCCAGCCGCGCCCCGCCCGGCCGCCAGCCGCCCCUAGCCCGGCCCCGGCCGCUCCCCUGGCCGCCCUGGCCCGGCCGCUGGUCGCCCCCAGCCGCGCCCCGCCCGGCCGCCAGCCGCCCCUAGCCCGCGCCCCGGCCGCCUGGCCCCCUGGCCGCGCCCCCCUGUCCCGGGCCGGUUCAGCCGGCCUCGGCCCCGGCUCAGCCGCCCCCGGCCCCAGCUCGGCCGCCUGCCCCCGGGCCGGUUCAACCGCCCCUAGGGCCGGUUCAACCGCCCCCCCCUCUAUUUUUUUUAUUUUUUUUAUUUUAUUUUAUUUACUUUCUGUGAUCAUAAUUACUGUAUUUUAAGUAGGCUAAUCACUGUUCAUGCUAUGGGAAAAUAGGAAGUUUAAUUUAAAAUUCCGUUAUGCUAUUGAUUCACGUAGUUAAUUGUUUACCCUGUGCAAUGUUGAUCAACUAAAAGUGAUUAGGUUUCCAUUAGUAUAUAUAAAUAUAUAUAACAGAAUUAUUUUGUUAAAAACCAAUUGUGUCAUUAGUGCAUAAGAUUUAACCCCCUGCGAGACCUUUCCCGUUUCUUUCUAACCAUAACAAAUGCGUUAUCGAAUGUCAUACUUGAUGCAUAUUCACUUUAUUUGUUAUCUUGUAUGGUGUACUGUUCUUUUGUAUUAAAUAUGUGGAUGGAUGUAUGUAUGUUUGCGCUCGCAUAGAGAACGAUCCGGUCGAAGAGCCUGAGGAAUUCGCAGGAGAAGCCCCUGAGCAGCAGUCGGUUGGUGGAGGCAAGUGUCCUUUGACCUAUCUCUGUCCUAUUCAUUAUUUAAUUCACCUCCCGCAUUACACAUUUAUACCUAAGGAUUGACUAGCUUUUGUUAUCCGUGUCCUUGUUUACCUAUUUGGGUCGGAUUAUUACUACUUAGUCUGAUGCUAUUGCUCAACUCUAAUCAAUGAACAUGAUGUGAUUAUCUAUGAUACGCUGUUUUCCCGUUCUUCUUUAUGAUUAUACUUGUGGUUUUCAAGGGGACUCGAGCGGUUUCUCGAGUGCCUCUCCGUAAGGACCUGUUCUAUGGAUGACCGCCCGGGAAAACAGUGCAACCAUGAGGGUGGAAUGGGGUGCCCUUAGCUGAAUAAUUAGAGGAUCCGGGAUGUAGUUCACUUAGCCGUCGUGCCGUCAAUGGGGCUCGGUGUAUGCGGCUCGCUCUGCCAAGUUUGGGUUCGCCCCUUGGGGAGGAGUGCGGUGCAUUUAGGAAACCUAACGGGUGGCUACAGCCCCGGGGAAUCUUUGUAAAGGCUACGUAGUGAAACCCUGCCUAUUCACCUUGGUAGUGUUUAAGGGUUUGAUCGGCCCGAGGCAAGAGGGAAUCACGGCUUGUGGGUAAAGUGCACAACCUCUACAGAGUGUUAUGAAACUGAUAUAUCAGCCGUGCUCACGGUUAUGAGCGGCCAAGGGAGCUCCAGAGAUUAGUGAUACUUGAUCAGAGAUAUUUUGGUACAGGUGGCAAUGAGAUUGAUGGUUCUGGUUAUGAUUAUGGUAUUGGUAAGUGGUAUUCUUUCCGUUUGGAAAGGAUACAUUGGGUUAAUAACUUGGGUUAAUGUUAAAACCUGGCUUUCUACUAGUAAGUAAUAACCUGACCAACUAAAAGCAACUGCUUGACUUAUCCCCACAUAAAGCUAGUCCACUACAGCCAAACAGGAUACUUGCUGAGUAUGUUGAUGUGUACUCACCCUUGCUCUACACACCAAACCCCCCCCCCCAGGUUGUCAGCAUUGCAACCACUGCUCAGGAGAAGAUGAAGCUGUGGAAGGAGACUUCCAGGAGUUCCAAGAUUACGACGAGUUCUAGGUGUGGGUUAGCGGCAACCCCCAGUCGGCUGCCUGUGAAGGCCGUGUUAUCUACGUUUCGUUUUCGCACUUUGAUUUAUUGUAAGAACUAUAUGGACGUCUCAGACGUAUGAUGUAAUCGACUAUUUCCCUUAUUAAUACUAUUUGAGCACUGUGUGAUGAUGUCCAUGUUAUGUAACUGCUGUGUACGUGAAUAACUGAUCCUGGCACGUACAUGGUUCGCAUUCGGUUUACCUUCUAAAAACCGGGUGUGACAGUACUCGUCACACAGGAUUCUUGAUGAAAUAUUCGAUUAAACCUUGUUUCAUCGCCGUGUAUACAGCUCUCAUCUCUUCUGGUAAAGCAUCCAUAUCCAUGGCAAACAGUUUGUUGAGCUCUUCUGCCUUUUGCUUCCUAUCUUCCAUCAUCAACUUUUUUUGCUGCACUUCUAUUUCCUUGGACUGAACCUCCAACUUCUUCAGUUCAACUUCCUUCAUGAACUCAAUGUUCUGUUGUUUCAGCUCUGUUUUUUCUUCACUUUGCUUCAAUCGUGCUAUCUGAAUGUCAUGGAUUCUUGACAGGUAGUCCGUGGAUUCGGAUGCACUGGACAUUGACUUCUUCCUUGAGGCUUUCGAUGAGUCACGUCCUAGUGGUCUCUUGCCUUUUGAACCACCUUCAUCAGUGUGAACUUCAUUAACAGAACCAGUCGGUGUAAGACUACGUACUGGCUCGGUCCCCGCAUUUCCUCUCCAGGGGCUUCCAUGAACCAUGGCAUCCCAUUUGGGUUCGUUUUUCAGGCGAGUCCAGCAGUGCAUGAAAUGGAAUGGCUUUUUCUGUGAUGUUGCAUACAAAGUUGCAGCUUUCGAUGUCUACACAAGAUGUAUGACAAGUUGUCAGUGCACAAAAAACAUUACGUUGACAUCUACCAUGAACAUACAUUUACUUUUACAACUGAAUAUAACUUUACCUUGUCGUUAUCUGUAAGGCCACUUUGGUUUUCCCUGAGGACUCUUGCGUAGAAUCCGGCAAAUUUCCCUGUUUCAGCUCUUAUUUUGUCCCACCUGCUGCUGAGAGCCCUAUUAAGUCUCAAUGGAAACUCACCUCUAAGUUCGUUGUACCUUUUCUCUAUUCUAGCCCACAACCCCUCCUUCCUCUGCCCUGUGCUAAUCACUGGGUCACUACUAAUCUCUAACCAUGUUUUGCAAAGCAACAGGUCUUCAUCAGGUUUGAAGUUCUGUUCCUUCGUCCUCCUAAAUGUCCCUGGUGUAUCUGACGGCUUGCUAGGGCUGUUAACUUCCUGGACGCUGUGUUCUGCUUCGGAUUCAAAUGCUGUAGGUUCAGUCUGGUUGGGAACAUGGGUGGGCACCGGUGGACAUGGAUUGUGUGGAUACAAUUGUGGUGGACCGAAACAUGUUUGUGUAGGAGGACCCCCAGGAGUUGUCAUACCAAAAUAUGGGUUCCAUGGUGUACGAAAUGUAUAUCCAGAUGGGUCAUUAGGUCCCUGGGACCAGGUAGGAUUUGUCAUUUGGGAAUUUGAUGGAUUAGUAAAUGUUGAAGCCUGUGUUGGGUCGAACCCUUGGGGCUGCCACAUCUGAGGAUCCCACAAGGGUGGGGGGAAAAUUUGGUUACCUGUAUUGGGGCUGGCAGCAGGUGGUCGAUAAGGAGUGUUUGAGUUGUUGUCAGCCAUUCUGGAAUGAAAUACAUGAAUACAUUAAGUUGGACAACACAAAACAAACUUGAACUGUAAACGUCAGACUUGACAGCAUUGGAAAUCGGCUUGAGACAUUACGAACAACAGAGAAGAGGCAUUGGAAAUAAGUUCAGUACAAAAUGAUAAAGCAUCCCAGAACAGGUUCGUACAAAAGUAAGAUAAGCUGGAACCGUUCUUACAUCGGUUACUACAAGCAUCAAACACAUACCACUGUGGUUCCUACUUUAUUUGGAUGCAUUAGUACUACUACGAGCAGGAUCUACGUACCCUUAUUACAGGUUCCAAAUGCUAUACCUAGUGGACCUGUCGGAAUCGUAGGAGUCAUUGUCACUGGCUUCAUACAAUUCUGGUGAGGAUGGGGGAGUGAAAGUUAUUUGUCUAGGCACGGGAUUGGCAUCCUGAGCAAGGGUAAUUUGUUCCUCCAUCCUAUCCUUCUCUGGGUCAGACCUUGCUUUGCUCUCAAUUGCAUCUUGUUCCAUCAGGUCUACCUCUGUUCGAAUAGCAAGUAGAGCAUUCAGAAGGUAAUGCUCGUCACCCAAAUGACGGAAAGCCUCUUCUAAAAAGGUCCUAAUAUUGACUGCACGACUUUCCACUGAGGAAGCAAGAUUGAGGACCAAGUUUUGCACGAGUUUGACAUCAUGGCUGCUCAUCUUGUUUUCAAUCGUCAAGAACUUCCUCCUUGGCUAGACAAGGUGCAUAGAUCACAAAAUUAGGGGCACUUCGGUUACUUUUUGGGUACAUUCAAGUGUUAAUGUGAGUUAGGAAAGAAAAGUUGGUACCAAUGCAAUAAAAAAAAUGUGAAACAGUUACAAAUAAACAAUUGUUGCUAGUUACCAACAAUUAUUGGUUGCAAUGUGUAUGGCAUCUACCAUAUUUGAUACACAUUAUCCAUGCCUGGGUGACCAUGUUCGGGGCUUGUAAUUUUAAUGAACAUGCACAACCAACAUGGCAGCACAGACUUCAGAAAUGGACAGUACACUUAACAAGUUCUUUAUAAACAAAUAACUAAAGCGAAAAAGGAUUUAGAACCUCAGUUAGUUGAAGUGGACGUCAAAUAAUGAAAUAAAUAUUUGAAGCUGCAUAAUAAGUGAAGGGUUCGUUAGUUGCAUGCAAUGUUUACUGAUGUAUCAAACAAAGGGGUUCUAUGUUAACUAAGUGGAGUUCAUAAAAAUAGUAAAUUGUUCAUAAUACAAAAUAAGUGAUAUGUAUCAAACAAAGGGGUUUUCAUGACCUAAUAAACGGUAAUUCGUGCUUUGUUGUUGGCAUUACAAUAUGAACAAUGAUUUGUGUACCAGGAAGACUGAGCAAUGAACAUCAGGUCUGACAUUACCACAUAUUAUUUCAGCUGAUGGACUUAGGGCGUGGAACAAACAAUAAGCACGCCAUGAUGACGACUAUGAAAAUCACACCGGACUCUUCGUGUUGUUGCGUAUGCUCGAAAAACUAUUAGGCUUCCACAUGCUCUACAACUUAACGACGGAUCAGGUCAGUGUUAAAGCUUAACAAUAGGCGAUGGGGACAACCAGUAAACCCUAACUGGCGAAAUCGCCAUGAAAAAAUUAAUCCAGCUACUAAAUCUAGUACAUGUACAUGUAAACGGUGCGGUUUAAUGACACGGACAUGGAUUUGGGUCACGGAUUGAAUCCGACAUGACAAAAUGGGAGGAGAGAAAGGGCCGUACCUUCGACGUCGCAGCUCGAAAGAAGCAGAUCUGGUGCGCGUCGAUGUGUCGCCGAUUGGAAUAUGACCCCUUGACGUGAGUACCGCUGACGACGAACUGGCGUGGGACGAGGACCGACGGCGGCGUCUUCGCACGGAUCGACCGUGACGCCGCACGGCGAAGCUCCCCAGCGGAUCCGCGUUGACGACGGCGUGUGCUUCUCGCCGCCCAGAGGAAGCCAAAUCAAUCGCGGCGGAUGGCGGAUCGACGCCAAAAAUCUCCGGCGGUGGUGCGCUCGCCGUGGAGUCGCGUGGUGGUCGCUCCUCGGAGUUUUCCGCCCGCGCGGGCUUCACUGGGAAGGAAGCAACCGGAGGGCACGCGAGCGCCGUAGCGUGCCCAUCCAUUUAGCGGGAGAGAGAAGGAAUCGGGAGGGGAGAGGAGGAGGAGGAGGAAGGCGGUGAAGAGAGUAGGGGCGCACUGUAGCCCCUAAAUCUGCUACAGUGCUAGGGGAGGGGGAGCCCAGCGCACACCGUUGAACACAGUCUAAGGGAUGGUGGGAUCAGAUGCAGCAGUCAGCUAGGGUGAUGCGUAUAGAAUAAGGUAGCUAGCUAGAAACUGUAGCAACUGCUCUAACUUUAUCCUAGCUGUAUCAAGUUUGGGCUAGGCCCC
rnacentral:lncRNA from 1 species